UGUUAUUUGGAUGCUGCUCA
rnacentral:siRNA from 1 species